UACAGAGGUCUCGAGCGUUAGGCGGAAUCACUGGGCUUAAAGCGUGUGUAGGUGGAUGCCUAAGUACCUUGUGAAAUCCCACGGCUUAACCGUGGAACUGCUUGGUAUACUGGGUGUCUUGAGUCACUCAGGGGCGAGCGGAACAAAUGGUGGAGCGGGUGAAAAUGCGUAGAUAUCAUUUGGAACGCCAAUGGUGAAAACAGCUCGCUGGGGGUGCACUGACACUGAGACACGAAAGCCAGGGGAGCGAACGGG
rnacentral:rRNA from 1 species